rnacentral:lncRNA from 1 species
GAAAAGAAAGAAAACACUUUAUUUGUAAAGAGAAAAUGGAACUUAGUACAUAUGCCAAAAUAAAUCUGUAACGCAGGCCACUUCUCUGGGCCCCAUCUUGAGUAGGUUAAAGGGUCACCUUAGAGACUAGAAACACAAUUAAGAGGCACAAAUCCACACAGAAAAUAUGCAUAUUUUGUCUCCUUUCCCCCCAAAACAAGCUGCAUAUACUUGUGUAAACUUGUUGAUUUGUAAAACAUGUCUAGUACUGCAGACAAAUGUGUGGGAUGAAAGGAAAUAAAAGCCAUGAAAACAGGGCCAGGUGCAGUGGAAUAAGUUCUCCUAGCUCAGAAGGAUCUCAACCUCUUGCAAGUUACUUUUCACUUUUAAGGGCCCUUAAAGAAGCAUUUGCUUAGCUCUGUAUCCAGGCCAUCUCUCCCUCCCCGAAGAGCAACAGACCAGCAACUGACAUUAAGGUCACAUGGGUG